CAAAGAACCACCCUCGCUUCAGAAGGUCCGAAGGCGAGCAUCCCAAGUGUUCAUAGUGAUGCAGAGAUGCCUGUCACGUAAACAUAGACAACAAAGUUUAGGAACCUGUUUGGAAAGAUGAUUUGCUGAGUAGUCAAAUGUGAUAAUUUGUUAAAAGUUAAAUAACUAGAGUUGAUAAUCACAGGAAGAAUACACCAAGGGUGGGCAUAGCCAUUCAGUAAUAAUAGUGUGACAGUUAGAGGAAACCUCGUUACCCCAAGUUAACUGUUAACUCGAGCCCUAUCUGGUUCCCACUUCCACAGUCAGAGCUCUCAAGGACCUUUAAGUUCCUUCUUAACCAGUAUCAAGCCAGUUAUUUUAGAAGUAGGAGGCGGCACCGAGGUUCAAAAGAGGUAAGCGUGGGGGAACUAAAAGGAAGAAUCGCACUACACAGUACAGACUAAUAUUUUACUUCUAAAAUGUGGCGUGGCAAAUACUGUAGUCUGUCCCCCAAUAUUCGUUAUUGAAAUAAAUUACUAAAAUGGAAACCUCCAUUUUGCUGCUGGGCAAAUUGUUUGGGACGUUAAAACUGCAUAUCUCCCAGCCUCCUUUGCUGUUGCGUGUGGUCGUGUGAUUACGAUUAUGUUUUGGCCAAUGAGAUGUAAGCGGAAGUUUCCUCUGGCAGCUUCCGUAAUACUCCUUACGAACGAGGCGGCCUGCUUGUUGCGGCUCUUCUUCAUCCCUUCCUCCUUUCUACCACCUGGAACCGAGACGGCUGGACCAUGAGGAUAAGGGCACCCACGAGGGAAGGCAGCCUGGUGAGGGGGGCCGAGGCCGAGUCCCUGAGCACACCUUGGAUCAGGCUGCCGUAUCAACCCUGCAGUGUGCACCUCUGGACUUGACUUGGAAGAAAUAAAAUUCUAUCUCGUUUAAGCCAUUGGUAUCUCAGGACUCCCUAACAUGUAGUGAAACCCUGUCUCAACAAACAUGGGUGGGAAAAAGUGGAGAACUUUGCUGAGGAGCCAGAGACCAGCGGGCAGCUGACUACGCUGGAUGUGGAGCUGCAGCCACUGGCAGGAGAAGUCAAUGUCUCGCCCCCCUGCCGGAUGAUGCCCAGACCUGACCCAUCAUCCAUGUCAUCUCUACUGCCAUUCAUACUCGUUGAGCAAUUGGCUAGAAACCUUCCCAGCCCUCCUGCUAUUUGCCCCAGAUGCUUCAAUCUGGCAAUGCUGAGCUCUUUCUAUUCAGGCAGUGAAGUGGGAGCAAUCUCUUUCCUCAUCUCAAUCUUUAUAGAUCUAGGGCAGAAACGGGUAGUUUCCGUCUUGCAUUUCACAGCUUGGGAACUAUACUAGGCAACCUGGCCCUUGAGACAAACAGUCUUGAUUCUUCCUCCCCGGGGCAAUUGAUGUUAUUAACCCCUUUGAACUUCAAAUCCCUUCUCUGUAAAAUGACAAUAAUAAUACCUAACUCAAAAAGUUGUUUGGAUUAAAUGAAAGACAAUUACUGCAGAACAUCCGGCCCAGUGCGGCCUCACUGUCUAUUUACAAUGAAUGCUGCCAAUAUUAUUGAGGUUCUUGUUUGAAUUUUUAACUACCAAUUCACUAAAAAUCAAUUCGUGAAAUAAACACUUCGUGGAAUGACUAAAAUUUACAAACUGCAGUUUUUAGCAAUUUUAAUAAAAAUAUUUUAUUUUUGAUUACAUGUAAUCAAAUAAAUUCUUUUGUAUGUUCUUUUGUAUGUUGGCUUAACUAAGCUUGAUUGGUUACCUGAUAAAAUAAUUCUAAUCAAAUGCUAAAAUGAUGGUAAAUCAUAAGUUCAGUGAAAAUGGCAAUAUGAACUGCUUUUUCCAUCCUAAAUUUUGGCGUUCAGUAUGUGACUUUUGAUCUUUUCAGAUGCUUUGUAUGAAAUUAUUUUUUCCAAAUUUAAGCACAUUUAGAAUUAUUUUACCAAUUCCCCAAAUGGCAUGUCAGCCUUAAUUUACAUUUUUAGCAAGUGAUUUUUA
rnacentral:lncRNA from 1 species